rnacentral:rRNA from 1 species
AAUAUUGCGCACUGGAGGGAACUCUGACGCAGCGACGCCGCGUGAGCGAUGAAGGUCUUCGGUUCGUAAAGCUCUGUCCUUGGGGAAGAAGGUCUUCGGACUGGCCGGUACCUAUGGAGGGAGCCCCGGCUCACUACGUGCCAGACGCCGCGGUAAUACGUAGGGGGCAAGCGUUGUCCGGAAUUAGUGGGCGUAAAGGGUGUGGAGGCGGCCUUUUAAGUCAGAUGUGAAAGCCCACGGCUUAACCGUGGGACUGCAUUUGAAACUGGAGGGCUUGAGUAUCGGAGAGGGUAGUGGAAUUCCCAGUGUAGCGGUGGAAUGCGUAGAUAUUGGGAGGAACACCAGUGGCGAAGGCGACUACCUGGACGAAAACUGACGCUGAUGCACGAAAGCUAGGGGAGCAAACA